rnacentral:snRNA from 1 species
AGAUGUGAGGGCGAUCUGGCUGCGACAUCUGUUACCCCAUUGAUUGCCAGGGUUGAUUCGGCUGAUCUGUCUGGCUAGGCAGGUGUCCCUUUCCUCCCUCACCGCUCCAUGUGCGUCCCCCCCGAAGCUGCGCACUCAGUGGAAGAGGACGACCAUCCCAGAUAGAAAGAGUGUAUUGAUCUUCGGUCAAAGGUAUACGAUAGCUGCGCUCCCCUGCUAGAACCUCCAAACAAUAAAUCCAGUAUACUCUGUACUCUAACCAGAGGUGUCAAACUCAAGGCCCAUGGAGCUGGCCU